GCUAAAUGAUAGAAUAUUUAGUGAUACCUGCCCAGUGGCGAAAAAAUAUAUAUUUGAAAAAUAUGUAAAAAGUUAAACGGCUGCCGUAAUCCUCAACGGUACUAAGUAAGCAUAAUCGGAUAUCGUUUAAUUGGCGAAGUGUUGAAUGGUGUCACCAAUCAAACACUAUAUUAUCUUUUCUAUUGAUAAAUUAUAUUAUGAGUGAAGAUACUCAUUAAAAUAGAAAGACAAAAAGACCCCAUGAAGCUUUACUCUAUAAUCAUUAUUGAUUGAUUUAUUGAUAAUUUUGGGGAGUUUAGGUGGGGUGCCUUCUUAUUAUUAAAAACAUAAGAUAUAAUAAACAAAAAUAUAAAAUAAAAACUUGAGAAAAUAAAAUUUUAAAAGAUAAAAUAUUAUUAUGAGUGACCAGGUGAAAGAACCUAAAAAUGAUAAAAGUUACUCUGGGGAUAACAGGGUAAUUUUGAUUUAGAGAAUUUAUCGAAAUUAAAGAUUGCCA
rnacentral:rRNA from 1 species